CUUGGUCAUUAGGGUCGGAAUAUUAGAACAUUCACAUUCAUACAAUUACUAUAGCAGAAGGGGAUUAGUCAAGGUAAUAUGCGGGUACUUGUUUAUAAUGGAUUAGUAAUGCUAUUGAAAAGAAAAAUAUAAAACUCUGAUCGUCCUCUUCGAUGAUCAGUUCCCAGUACUUUAGAAUCACCUCCAUAUCAAAUUUACUAUAAUAGCGAUGAGGAUUGAGGGCGGAUUUACUUUGCAAAGUAAGUAAGGAACCAGGGAGUGGCAUACAUCUCUGGUGUAAUCUGGUUA
rnacentral:misc_RNA from 1 species